GGGUGUCCAGUGGUUAAGACUCAGCACUUUCACUGUUGAGGGCCUGGGUUCAAUCCCUGGACCCA
rnacentral:tRNA from 1 species